UACCUCGCACGGAUAAGUCCAUGAUAUUCUCCUUGGGCCCGCUCAUUGCACGCUCAGUAGUGUCCUGCUAUCGAUUGCAAAUCCGGUGGAAUAGAAUCACGUGGUCUUUAUCUUCACUGGAGCCAUUCUGAGGGAUGGAGCGAGAGGGGGCUAGUUGGCAAGAAGCAGCGAGAGAGCCAAGUGGCAUACGUCCAUCUCGCUCGCUCGCACGGCCCCCUUAUAUAAGCCUUAUGUAACGGAGAGUCGCAGGGGCAUGCGCACAUGGCAACAACAGUGGAUCAUGGGGCCAUAAAAAUAGAAAUCUAUACUAAGUACCCACUACAAGCGAUUCUGACUAAUCGCCGUAUUUCUAUUUUAGUGGCUAGGGGUCAGGUUGCAGAAGGAUUCCAUCAAUGCUUUGGGCAGAUAUAGAUAAUAAUAAUAAUGAGUUAAAAUGACAUAUUAAUAUAUAUGCUAAAAUAUAUCUAAAAUAUUAGAUUUAAUAUAACCAAGAAACUUUUGUUAACCAGUAAAUAAAAAUAAUCAUAAGUUUUGGGUCAUGGUUUUCUAAAUCAA